UCAUCCGCGUCAUUAUAAUUUCUCUAAUAUUCAUCAUGUCGUAAGGGAAAAUGAUGAUAUUACCUUACUAUGAGUGUCGUCCAAAGCUGGUGCCAGAAGACUCGGUAAGACCAGAGACGCAAACGUUAGUCAUCCUAAACAGGCGUAAAGGGUUUGUAGGCAGCUUUCAUAAUUUUUUAAUUUAUAAAUAUUGAAAGCUAGAAUCAAAAAGAGGUUAUAGUGUAUAACGCCUAGAGGAGGGCUGAUAUCCUUAGAUCCUAGGCAGAAUACUUAUGGCGAAGGCCACUCUCCACUAAUGAUUGACGCUGAGAAACGAAGGUUAGGAUAGGAAAUAGGAUU
rnacentral:rRNA from 1 species